rnacentral:rRNA from 1 species
AGGGAUCAUUACAGGACUCGAAAGACUCCCGUAACCCCUGUGAACAUACCUAUAUUCGUUGCCUCGGCGGGUGCUCCGGUUCGUCCGGGGCGCUACGCCCGCCGGUGGCCCAAUACUCUGUCUCGCGCGUUGGCAUCUCCGAGUACAUACAAAUAAGUUAAAACUUUCAACAACGGAUCUCUUGGUUCUGGCAUCGAUGAAGAACGCAGCGAAAUGCGAUAAGUAAUGUGAAUUGCAGAAUUCAGUGAAUCAUCGAAUCUUUGAACGCACAUUGCGCCCGCCGGUAUCCCGGCGGGCAUGCCUGUUCGAGCGUCAUUACAACCCUCAGGCCCUGCCUGGCGUUGGGGCCCUGCGCUGCAGGCCUCUAAAGACAGCGGCGGGUGCGUCCCACAACCGAACGCAGUAGUUACUUCUCGUUCCGGGGUGUAGGCGUACGCUUGCCGUAAAACCCCCAAUUUUACAAGGUUGACCUCGGAUCAGGUAGGAAUACCCGCUGAACUUAAGCAUAUCAAUAAGCGGAGGAAAAGAAACCAACAGGGAUUGCCUCAGUAACGGCGAGUGAAGCGGCAACAGCUCAAAUUUGAAAUCUGGCCCUAGGCCCGAGUUGUAAUUUGCAGAGGAUGCUUCUGGUUAGGUGCCUUCCAAGUCCCCUGGAACGGGGCGCCGAAGAGGGUGAGAGCCCCGUCCGGUUGGCCGCCAAGCCUGUGUGAAGCUCCUUCGACGAGUCGAGUAGUUUGGGAAUGCUGCUCUAAACGGGAGGUAGACCCCUUCUAAAGCUAAAUAUUGGCCGGAGACCGAUAGCGCACAAGUAGAGUGAUCGAAAGAUGAAAAGCACUUUGAAAAGAGGGUUAAAAAGUACGUGAAAUUGUUGAAAGGGAAGCGCUUGUGACCAGACGUGUGCCGGGGUGUUCAGCGGGCGUUCUCGCCCGUGCACUCGCCCCGGUACAGGCCAGCGUCGGUUCGCGUGGGGGGACAAAGGCGUUGGGAACGUAGCUCCUCCGGGAGUGUUAUAGCCCAGCGUGUCAUGCCCCCGCGCGGACCGAGGUACGCGCUCCGCAAGGACGCUGGCGUAAUGGUCUCCAGCGGCC